GCAUGGUCAAAUUCCCAGUGGCCAGCCCCUUAAAGAAAUUUCAGUCCUUUCCCACGCACACCCUGGUCAGAAGUCAUUAAUUGUAAAGAGCUACCCUUCAGCAUCCUUAUCACAAAUUUUAGGAGUUCUUUUAGAUGACUUUCUGUCUAGGCUGUUUUUUUGUUUUUGUUUUUGAUUUUGAGGGGGGUAGGAGUUGCCACAGAAGCCUUCUAAGUCCCUCUUUCUCAACUGUGAGUCUGCAGUCAUCAAUACAAUGCAAAAGUAGCUUCCUUGCCCUUUACAAUCAGAGGGAGUAUGGGUCACAGUCUUCCAUGUGGUCUCAGCAUGUGCCACAGACCCCAGCACGGUCUCCGGUGGCAAUACUGACCACAGACAUCAACACGGCCUCUGCCACAGCACCGGCCAAGAAUGUCAACACGGCUUCUAGGACAACACAAGCCACCGACACCAAUAUGGUCCCAUGGCAGCAGCCCAGCCCACGAACUUCAACAUGGCUUCAGACAGCAGCAAAAACCACGAACAUCCACAUGGCCUUAGGUGGUAACAGAGGCCACAGACAUCGAUUUGACCCCAAUCUGCAACAGGACCACGGACCCCAACAAGGCCCUCAGUGGCAGCAUUGCCCAUGACAUCAACAUGGCUUCAGGUGUUAAAUAGCUUUUUAAAAGGUAUAAUUGGCAGAUAAUAAACUUGACAUGGUUGAAGCAUACAAUUUGAUAAAUGUUGACCUUCCAUAUAAGCAUGAAACCAACACAACAAUAGAGACUGAAAACCCCUCGUCACCCUUUUUAAUGUCCUCCAGGCUCUCCUUUCACUCCUUAGACAGCCAUGAGCCUGCUUUCUGCUUCUGCAGGCAUACCUCAACUUGAACCUGUUGCAAGAUGAUAAUGCAUUUGCUCUCCCUAACCUGCUGAACUUCGCCGCUAGCAAGCAUGCACUGCAGCACCACUUGCCUCCUUGGGAUUGUGUGACUGAGUGACAGUUCAGCUCACUGCUACAGACAGCCAGUUCACACUUUUUUACCACCAUAAAAAUCUAAAGAAAAAAAAUAUACCAAAUCACGGAAAAUAAGGAACCGGGUAUAUGAACAGUUCAUAUUUUCUAGAAUUUUAGGUAAUUGGGAUGAAUAAGAUGUACUCCCGUCUGUCUGUCUGUCUUUUUCACUCAACGUAGUUAAGAUUUAUCCAUGUUGUACUACGUAUCGACGGGUUAUCUUGUAGAACGUUUUGUUCUUUGGCUGUGUUACAAUUUGAUUGUUCACUCACUUAUUGUGGUGGCUUGAAUGAGCAAUGUCCGCAAUCUGCUCAUGUACUUAAACAUUGGCCCCCAGCUGGUGGUACUUUUUGAGGAUCGCCAAUGUAACAUUAAUGACGUGGAGCCUUGAUGGGGGAAAAGGGCACCACUCCACCCCCAUUUCACUCGCUCUGCUUCUGGUUUGCAGAUGAUGAUGUAAUCUCUCAGCUUUCUACUCUGUGGGCUUCAUAGCUCCCGUGACUUACGUCCUUGUCACUGCGGACUCCCCUUCUGGAACCAUCAGCCAAAAUAAACUCUUCCAUAAGUUGCCUUUGGUCAUAGUGUUUUAUCACAGCAACAGAGAGGUAACAAAUGUACUUACUGGAGAGUGUCUGGAGCGUCUUGUUUUUCACUGUUAUAGACGUGGGCAAAAGUCAGUGCACAGAUGUACACCUUUUCUCCUUUUCAAUAUCUAGGAGUGGGAUGACUGGACUACACAGCAGCCCUGAACUGAUUCCCCUGUUUUACAUCCCACCAGCAGUUGCUUUAGAAUUUCAGUUCCACGCCUUUGCCGACACUUUUUCUCUAACCAUUCUAAAGUCAAACAGCAUACUAUGAUCCAUCUGGAAGACUGUCUUCCUGGCCUCUGCGGCUUUGCAAGCAUGCCUUGCCUGUUGGCUGAAGCCCAAGCAGAGCCCUCCACAGAUUUCUGCUGUCCUCUCAGAAUAGCGGCCUCCUCAACGGUGCUUACUCGGCCCUGGAAACUGUCCUUGCUUCCAUCUCUUUAAACUCUGGGUCUCUGAUGAAGAACUUCAGGAAGUCCACUGGGCUCUGUGUGGAUUACCCUUUCUCAUGGCUUGGAAACUAUCAGCCCGUCCGUCAUCCAGGUACCUGUGUGCUGUCACCCGCCCAGCUCUCAAAUGCCGACUCUGAUCACUCCUUCCCCCCUGCAUUUCAUAUUGGAGUGGUAAGUGACAGAUGCAUUCACAUUAGUAGCCUGGUAUUAGCCAAGGAGGGAAUAUUUGAACCCUGAAAAUUAGCCAGCAUUAUACACGCAGAGCUCUCUCUCCGGAGAGCUGGUUGUUAAACAGUUACCAGCCCUUUGCUAUUUAUAGCCAUCACUUUAAAAGGUCACCUAGCAGCCUUUUGGGUAGAUAACACAGUUCCGUUACAUGGUGCUUUUAUCACUGGCCUUUUAGAGACAAGGAAAACAAGCGGAAGGAAGGAACACAGUGGUCCAGUGGACCCACAGCUAGCACAUAAUGCAGCAGCAAGCAGCGGGCUUCCACCGCGUUUUAGCCCCCACAGUGUCCUGAUGCUGCUUUAUCUCGGCUCCAACUAACAACCAGGCAACCACCCUUGGAGCCCAACAUCACUGCAGGUGAACCAUUCAGCUGGUGGGGACACUUGCCAGCCAUCAUUCAUCAUCAGAACGCCUGCCCCCUGGAGCUCAUCCCACACUGGCCAUUUGGGCAUGCAGAAUUUAGGUAUUCACGCAGUUCCGCUGAGCACAUGCAUCGCUCCUUGACCUCUGCUUUGCAGUCUUCAGCUUCCGGUGGAGCCCUUUCAGAGUUGCUGUGGACUUGGGGGAAAUGGUGGCACAUUUCAAGUUGCCGGAAUCACUCUAGCAUUCAGAGUGAACUUUUGUAUUUUAUCAGGGGAAGGACUCUGCGGGUGCUGCCCUCCUCCUCCUCCUCCUGGGGUUUGCGGUGUUUGAAGUUCCUGCCUGGGUUUCGGGAGUGCUUCUAUUUCUGGUGGAGCCGCUGAGUUGCUGCCUAUGAUGGAAGCCAUUUGACCUCGGCAAGGAUUCGUUUGCAGAGAAAAGCAUCUUGAGACCUAAGAGUUCUCAUAGCGCCCGCCCGGAAGCUCCGGCCAGCAGGAUGCUUGGUGUACACUUAGCUGCAAGCCCUGAGCUCUUCUUUCUCCCUGGUGGGGGCGGGGAGCGCCCCUAAACACUCCCCCACGCCCCCCCCCACGCCCCGCUUCUGUGCUUUCAGACAAGCUGUAGAUGCAGUUGUGGGGUGGUUGCUAAGGUGCGCUGGAGUUUAUCAGCUCCGCUUUGGGUCAGCUGCUCACUUUGGCCCAGGAAUAAAUGCUUCACCAAGGACAGAAGAGAAUAAAGCCUUCUAGAAGGAAUGGGGGUUAGAUAACCGUACAACUAAAAUCACCACUGAAAGGAAGUUUAUGUUUCAUACCUGCCAAGUUCUGUAACCCUCCAGGAACUCUAUUUCAUACACGUCUUAGAAACAACUAGAUUCUGUCCAGCUUAGGAUUUCUUUUGAUCUUCCAAAUCCUCUAACUCAUCCAUGUGAUAAGCAGGGAUGCUGGAGGCCUGUCAGCAGAAACCUCUGGCCCUUUUCUGAAGGUGUUUGCCAGUACAGAGAUCUCUGACUGUAUAAAUGUAAGAGAGAAAGGGAGGAGUGGAAAGCAGGGGAUCUUUUUAAAGGUUGAAAGGAAUGCUUCACAGAGGUUCCCAACCCAUAAUCUUUGGUUUUCUUUUCUGUAGUUUCAGUUACAUGUGACCAAAUCUGAUCCGAAAAUACUAAAUGGAAGAUGAAAAACAGUUUAUAAGUUUGAUGUACAUCAGAAGGUCAAUAGCACUCUGUUACAUCUCAAUACCAAAGGCGUUCACCUCAUCACACAAAUGCUGCGUGACAGCACAUCACCACGUGAGCACCGGGUUAGUAGAUACAAAACAGAGCGAGGAGAGAGAAUGUCGCCCACCUUCUAGUGUUAAAACUGUUCUAUUAGCUAUUGUUGUUAAACUUUUGCACAUGUGUAGAAAACAUAUGUUUAAGGAAACCAUAACACAAAUUGGGUAGAUGCUGUCUGUGGUUUCUGGCACCCCCUGGGGUUCAUAGAAUGUAUCUCCCCUAUCUUCCAUUUAGGCUGCCCUUCUCUCCAGGCUCAGUGCUACAGGGAAAUGGAGGAGCUGGAUGCUUCCGCAGUUCCCAUCCCUCCCAGAACUGGCUGUGCAGUGGAGGACUGAGCACAUGUGUCCCUAGAGAGAGAGAUGCUGAGAAGAAAUGUGGGCGAUUUGGAGCUUGACAGGCAGCAGCCUGGGCUCUCGUGUGGCCUCUAGCCAGCGGGAAGGAGAUAAGGAAAAUGAGCUUGCAAAUGAAGGCUCUAUUGCAACUCUCCCUCUCAGCCUUCUGAACUGUUUGUGUCUCUCUAGAGAGGUGCAUUUGCUCUCCUUUUGUGGCCCCACAGGGCUAAUAUCACAUUUAAGCACUUUCUGAGGCUUGUUUUCCAUUCCCAUAUUCUCCCAGGCGGAAGAAACCAAGGAAGACGAGAACUUUGCAUUUUGCCUUUUCUUCUUCAGCGGUGACUUGGAGGCCAACGCCAGGUUCACGUGUACCGCAGUAUUAACAGUCACACUUACCGUCUUGUUCUUCUCACAUGGUCCCAACCACCCCACUCUCUCAAUAUGUCCACCUCACGAUGCUCGUGGGCCGUGAGAUGGCUAACACAUGGUCCGCAUUCCCGAGUCCAGGUCAUCAAUUAAUAACAGGCAGCAGGGCUUGCCCCUUGAUUACAGCCUGGGAUCUCUGGGACUCAGUGAUUUACAUUCACCCUGCCCUCUGCCCUUUAGCUCAUCUGGUUCUGUGUUUAGUGUCAGCAUUUCCACAAAUCCUCUCAAGCAGCCCAUGUGCUCUUGCUAUGUGCGUUUUAAUAAAACUCUGGGUUUUAUAUUUCAAGCCACUGGCUGUCUUCCCCUUCCCUAACACUAUAGUUCCCCCCCACCACCCCGUGGUUUAAUUACAUAGCAAGAUUUUAUCUCAGUUGGAUUAUCUGAGAACCACUGACCCAAGGGGAAUGACCCAUCCUCACUUUUGAACUUAAGGUCAUUUUCAGUCAAAGUUCAAGGCAUAGGAAGCCCAGGCAAAACAUUUCCAUGGAUGCUGGAGUGGGAGGUCCCUGGCAGGAGGGUGAUUCCUUGAGAGAAGGAUGCAUGAUGAGGUUCUGAAGUAUUCAUGGUGCAUUCAGCAUGCCAAGAGUCAAACCAUCGCCAGGCGAUGGUGACACAUGCCUUUAAUCCCAGCACUCGGGAGGCAGAGCCAGGUGGAUCUCUGUGAGUUUGAGGCCAGUCUGGUCUACAGAGCGAGAUCCAGGACAGGCACCAAAACUACAUGGAAAAACCCUGUCUCGGAAAAAAAACCAAAAGAAAAAAAAAGUCAAACCAUCUCCAUGCCUACCCAUGCCAAUUUGCCCUCAUAAAGUUCUGACUAGAUGUAAUGAUUUCUUCUUGAUCCCCUUUGAAAGAGUGGCUGCCGUCACCCUCUGAGGGUGGCUCCUCCUCUUCAUACUGGUUCCUUGUUCUGUCCUCUGAAGGUUCCCUCUACAAGAUUUCAAUUCCUAUCGUGACGAUGAUGCACUUAUGACCUCAACUCUAAAUAUGAAGUCCAUUGAUUUGAUGCAUGGCAGCUCAGCACUACCCCUCCACGUGCUUGGAACACAUUUCAAACUGUCUUUGUAUGGUUCCAUUCUGACCCUUUUACUUUGUACUACUGGCCAAGACCACUAAACUAAUGCUGUGACUUUUACAAGCAGCUCACUGUCACUCAAGACUUGAGAAGCCCCAGUCAGGGGCACACUUGGACUACUGGUUCCCUUUGUUGUUCUCUAUGCUGUCAUCAUUGUCUUCCAGAUCUUAGUCUAGCUUCUCAUGUUUUAGAUUUGUCAUUUAUUUGAAAAUGAAUGAAGCUUGUCAACUAUUUUUAUGUACUUUCAAAAAUCUUUCAAGAGUCCUUGAAAUCCUUCAACCUUUUUUUUUAUCUUUGACAUUUCUUUUCUCUGCCACAAAGUGAUGAACAUAUAAUACAGAUCAACAUAUAAAAAAUGAUUUUUUUUUUUUAGGCAAAGGCACGAAAAUCUCUGAGUUUGAGGCCAGCCUGGUCUACAGAGUUUCAGGAUAGCCAGGGCUACACAGAAAACCCCUGUCUCAAAGAACAACAACAAAAAAAUUUAAAACUUAGAUUUUCUGGGUUUUCUUUUUUGUUAUUAUUUUUGUUUACUUAUUUAUUUUUGAGAUAGGGUCUCAUUGCAUAGCCCUGGCUGGCCUGGAACUUAUUAUGUAGACCAGGCUGGCCUCAAACCCACAGAAACCUACCUACCUCUGCCUUCUGAAAGCUGGGAAUUAAAGGUAUGUGCCGCAAUACCUGGCUAAAGCAUGUAUUUUCUAAUUUUUAUAAAAAAUAAUACAAGGUUUUAAGAUGGCCAUCAUUAUAUUUAAGUGUUGGGGCUAGAGAGAGGGCUCAGUGGUUAAGAACUAUGGUUACUCUUGCAAGGACCCUGGUCCAGUUCCCAUAAGCCACAUGGCAGCUCAUAACUGUAUGUAACCCCCAGUUAUAGGAUGCCCGAUGACCUCUCCUCCCACCCAUGGGCACUGGGCAUGCACAUAGUGUACAUACACACAUGCAGGAAAACACUCACACAUAAAAUAAAAAUAAAUAAAUCUGAAGAAGAAGGAGAAGGAGGAAGAGGAGGAGGAGAAGAAGAAAAGGAAGAAGAGGAAGAAGAAGAAGAAGAGGAGGAGGAGGAGGAGGAGGAAGAACAAAAUGGUAGUAGAAUUGGGCUCAGAAUAUGAAGCCUCACGGUGUGGCACUCUGGCAGGCUGAGCACUUUGGACUGUCGCUGCUUGGGAAGGCCUCACACUGAAUGAUAAAAAGGUGCUGUUCUGGCAUGUCAACAACUUAAGUUGUUAAGUACAUCUGAAACCCAGUAUCUGCAAGAAGAUCAUCUUGAACGUGGUUGCUUCUUAAAAACAACAGAUGGAAUUCCCACGUGAAAGACACUCCCCCUGUUCUAGAAAGAAAAGAAACUUUAAUCUCCAAAGAUAAGAUAUUGAGACCAAGAGAACUGUGUACAGUCCUUGAGAAGAUAGCUGUUACUCUUUCAGCCCUUCCUGUAGCGUGGUGUCUUCUUCACAGCCUACUGCUCUUCGUCCAAUUCAGUGUGCUUACCUGAUUUGAACUGUUUCUGGGGGCCGUUGUUCCUUUCUGAGGACUCCUAUGUCAUGUGUCUUCAUUUCUUCUCUGUUGCUGUGAUAAAAAAAACAAAACAAAACAAAACACCAUGGCCAAAAGCAACUUAUGGAAGAGAUUAUUUUGGUUUAGGUCCCCAAGGGUAAGAGUCCAUCGUGGAGGGAGGGAUAUGACAGCAGCUGCAGGCAGAGCAGCUGGAGCAGCGAGCUGGGAGCUGACAUUCUCACCCACAAGCAUGAAGCCGAGAGAGUGAACUGUAAGCGGCCCAAGGCUUUAACCUGUCAAAGUCCACCUCCAGUGACAUAUUUCAUCCAGCAAGGCUGCACCACCUAAACCUCCCCAAGCAGUAUCACUAGCUGUGAACAGGUGUUCAAAUACAUGAGCAUAUGGGGGACAUUCUAUUCAAACCAUAUUCCACUCCCUGGCCCCCAGGGGCUUGUGGCCAUAUCAUAAUGCAAAACGAAUUUAGUCCAACUUCAAAAGUCUCCCACAGUUCAACACUGAGAGUCCAAAGUUCAGGGAGUUUGAAAGAUAACUCAAUAGUUAAGAGCAUCAGCUGCUUUUCCAGGGGACCUGAGUUCAAUUCCUAGCACCCACACGGCAGCUCACACCUACCUCUGAUUCCAGUUCUGGGGAAGCCAGCACCGUCUUCUGGCCUCCAAAGGCACUGCAUACCUGUGGUACACAGAGGACCGGUGCAAG